rnacentral:rRNA from 1 species
GCGUGAAGCCCACCUCAAGAUUAGAUUUCCCAUAACAUAAGUUAGUAAGACCCCUGUAAGAACAACAGGUGAUAGGUCAGAGGUGUAAGAAUGGUAACAUUUUAAGCUGACUGAUACUAAUAGGUCGAGGGCUUGACCAAUAUAA